UACGUAGGGUGCAAGCGUUGUCCGGAAUUAUUGGGCGUAAAGAGCUUGUAGGCGGUUUGUCGCGUCUGCUGUGAAAUUUCGGGGCUCAACCCCGAACUUGCAGUGGGUACGGGCAGACUAGAGUGUGGUAGGGGAGACUGGAAUUCCUGGUGUAGCGGUGAAAUGCGCAGAUAUCAGGAGGAACACCGAUGGCGAAGGCAGGUCUCUGGGCCAUAACUGACGCUGAGAAGCGAAAGCUAGGGGAGCAAACAGG
rnacentral:rRNA from 1 species